GCCUGCCUUGAACUGAUGACCUGACGGCCAGAGACCGAAUGGCAGUACCAGUGUAGCGGGUGAAAUGGCGUAGAUAUUCGGACGAACACAGUGGGCGAAGGCGGCUUCUCUGGCUGUUUUCUGACGCUGAGGCGCGAAAGCGUGGGGAGCAAACGGGAUUAGAUACCCCCGGUAGUCACGCCGUAAACGAUGGGUGCUAGGUGUAGGAGGUAUCGACCCAUUCUGUGCCGUAGUUAACACAAUAAGCAUUCCGCUGGGGAGUACGGCCGCAAGGUUGAAACUCAAAGAAAUUGACGGGGGCCCGCACAAGCAGCGGAGCAUGUGGUUUAAUUCGAAGCAACGCGAAGAACCUUACCAGGUCUUGACAUCCAGGUAAAGCGGCAGAGAUGCCGUGUGUGCUUGCACAAUCUGAGACAGGUGGUGCAUGGUUGUCGUCAGCUCGUGUCGUGAGAUGUUGGGUUAAGUCCCGCAACGAGCGCAACCCUUGUGAUCAGUUACUAACGGGUAAAGCCGAGGACUCUGAUAAGACUGCCGGGGACAACUCGGAGGAAGGUGGGGACGACGUCAAAUCAUCAUGCCCCUUAUGACCUGGGCUACACACGUGCUACAAUGGCCACUACAGAGAGAAGCGAAUUCGAGAGGAAGAGCGGAUCUCAGAAAAGUGGUCCCAGUUCGGAUUGUGGGCUGCAACCCGC
rnacentral:rRNA from 1 species